UCGGGCUAUUUGCCAACUGAGCGCGCUAGCCGUUGUUAUUUCGACAGAAUAUGAUACCUCUACACUUUUCAGCCGUAAUACAUAAUGCGCGGAUCAGUGUAAUCAUGCAUAUAUAUAUAUCGUUUAAUUUAGCUUCAAAAACUUAUUUUGUUAAAUGUAAAAUGCGCAGCAUGUUGCGUACAUUAAUAUCAAAGAAAAAAGGUUGACUUCAUUAGACUGAAAUAAGAUUUCCCGUUACAUACAUUAGUUAUACCGAGGCGGCUUUGCAUGUGCUCUGCCUCUGGCAACCGUAUGAUACCAUUGCGCUCCGCGGGAACCAACACGAAUAACAUGUUUUUAUCAAGUUUUUGAAGCUAAAUUAAACGAUAUGUAUAUGAUUACAAUGCGCGCUGAAAAUUACGGCUGAAAAGUGUAGAGGUAUCAUAUUCUGUCGAAAUAACAGCGGCUAGCGCGCUCGGUUGGCAAUUAGCCCGA
rnacentral:miRNA from 1 species